UGGGGAAUAUUGCACAAUGGGGGAAACCCUGAUGCAGCGACGCCGCGUGAACGAAGAAGGUAUUCGUAUCGUAAAGUUCUGUCCUAUGGGAAGAUAAUGACAGUACCAUAGAAGAAAGCUCCGGCUAAAUACGUGCCAGCAGCCGCGGUAAUACGUAUGGAGCGAGCGUUGUCCGGAAUUAUUGGGCGUAAAGGGUACGCAGGCGGUUUAAUAAGUCGAAUGUUAAAGACCGGGGCUCAACCCCGCAAAGCCUUGGAAACUGAUAAACUUUAGUAGUGGAGAGAAAAGUGGAGUUCCUAGUGUAUUGGUGAAAUACGUAGAUAUAGGAGGAAUACCAGUAGCGAAGGCGACUUUCUGGACACAAACUGACGCUGAGGUACGAAAGAGUGGGGAGCAAACAGG
rnacentral:rRNA from 1 species